UACGUAGGGACCAAGCGUUGUUCGGAUUUACUGGGCGUAAAGGGCGCGUAGGCGGCAGAUCAAGUCAGCUGUGAAAUCUCCGAGCUUAACUCGGAACGGUCAGCUGAUACUGUUUUGCUAGAGUACAGACGGGGCAAUCGGAAUUCUUGGUGUAGCGGUGAAAUGCGUAGAUAUCAAGAGGAACACCUGAGGCGAAGGCGGGUUGCUGGGCUGAUACUGACGCUGAGGCGCGAAAGCUAGGGUAGCAAACGGG
rnacentral:rRNA from 1 species